rnacentral:rRNA from 1 species
GUGCCAGCCGCCGCGGUAAUACGUAGGACGCGAGCGUUAUCCGGAUUUAUUGGGUUUAAAGGGUGCGUAGGCGGACUUAUAAGUCAGCGGUGAAAGACUGUCGCUUAACGAUAGCAUUGCCGUUGAUACUGUAGGUCUUGAGUACAGUUGAGGUAGGCGGAAUGUGUAGUGUAGCGGUGAAAUGCUUAGAUAUUACACAGAACACCGAUUGCGAAGGCAGCUUACUAAGCUGAAACUGACGCUGAGGCACGAAAGCGUGGGGAUCAAACAGGAUUAGAUACCCGCGUAGUCC